rnacentral:rRNA from 1 species
GAUGAACGCUGGCGGCGUGCCUAAUACAUGCAAGUCGAGCGAACAGACGAGGAGCUUGCUCCUCUGACGUUAGCGGCGGACGGGUGAGUAACACGUGGAUAACCUACCUAUUAGACUGGGAUAACUUCGGGAAACCGGAGCUAAUACCGGAUAACAUAUUGAACCGCAUGGUUCAACAGUGAAAGACGGUCUUGCUGUCACUUAUAGAUGGAUCCGCGCCGCAUUAGCUAGUUGGUAAGGUAACGGCUUACCAAGGCAACGAUGCGUAGCCGACCUGAGAGGGUGAUCGGCCACACUGGAACUGAGACACGGUCCAGACUCCUACGGGAGGCAGCAGUAGGGAAUCUUCCGCAAUGGGCGAAAGCCUGACGGAGCAACGCCGCGUGAGUGAUGAAGGUCUUCGGAUCGUAAAACUCUGUUAUUAGGGAAGAACAAAUGUGUAAGUAACUAUGCACGUCUUGACGGUACCUAAUCAGAAAGCCACGGCUAACUACGUG